CCCCCCCUCCCCCUUUCUCUGCAUCUCUCCCUUUACUCUCACUUUCUCCCCUCCCUUGCCCCCCCUUCUUUUCUCUGCAUCUUGCUUUACUCUCACUUUCUCCCCUCCCUUUACUCUCUGCUUUGCUUUGAUUUUCCUCCCCUUCCUUAUGGAUUUGGUUCCUUUAGGUUUUCUUCAGAUCUUAGUUCUCCUGUCGAGUCUGUGGUUGGCUCUACUGAGACAGAGAGCGAUGAAGAAGAUUACUGGCACCAAAAAAAUUAAGGUUGAGUUUUGUUUGGAUCGCCUCAAUCAACGCUAUGUGUAGUUGGACGCAGGUGAGGUUGUAGACAAGGGUCUAGCCGUGGAAACCCGAAUGGGUCUUCACCUCCAGUAACUUGGGAUCUGCUAUACGAGGCUGCAGGAGAAGUAGAGAGGACCAUUGGGUUUGAACCGGUUUGGAAGGGAAAAAAACCGAACCGAAUCGAACCGAAAUUAAUCUGUUUGAACUGGUUUUCGGUUCGGUUCGGUUCAAAAAUUUUAAAAAAAAAUUCGGUUUGGUUGUUUAUUUUGGUUCAAAACCGGACCGAACCGAAAAUGAUCAGCCCUAUCGUCCAAUGUAAUUAGAUUGCUUUUUUAUACGGUGAGAAAACCACAUGCAGGUAAGAUUUUAUCAGGGUUGUAUGUGAAAAUAAGUGAUGGAUUCACCUAACUUUUAUCUAAUUUGAUAUUUUUUUUAUUAAGAUUUUUAUUAAUAUGUGUAUAAUAUUUUUAUAUGUGUAUUUGAAUUUGAAUUUUAUUAUGUUUUCUUUUUAUUUAAGAAUUUUAUUCUUUAUAAAGUAAUUAUUUUUAGUA